rnacentral:rRNA from 1 species
GUGCCAGCAGCCGCGGUAAUACAGAGGGUGCAAGCGUUAAUCGGAUUUACUGGGCGUAAAGCGUGUGUAGGUGGCUCGCUAAGUCGGUUGUGAAAUCCCUGGGCUCAACCUGGGAAUUGCAGUCGAUACUGACGAGCUCGAGUUCGGUAGAGGGUGACGGAAUUCCCGGUGUAGCGGUGAAAUGCGUAGAUAUCGGGAGGAACAUCGAUGGCGAAGGCAAUCACCUGGGCCUGAACUGACACUGUGACACGAAAGCGUGGGUAGCAAACAGGAUUAGAUACCCCUGUAGUCC